UGCACCGAGUGGUUUGGAUCGAUCAGACCUUCGUUCGGCGCAUGGAAGAACAUGGUGCCGUGGUCGAAUUUGCUGCCGUUAGAGUAGGUGUCGGUGUGG
rnacentral:tRNA from 1 species